rnacentral:rRNA from 1 species
AUUGAACGCUGGCGGCAGGCCUAACACAUGCAAGUCGAACGGUAACAGGAAGCAGCUUGCUUCUUCGCUGACGAGUGGCGGAGAGGGGAGUGAUGUCCGGGGGGCUGUAUGUUGGCGUGGGGGAUAAAGUGGGAACGCUAACGAAUAUCGCAUAAUGGCGCUACGGCUAAAAGGAGGGGCUCUUGGGACCUUGCCCGCGUAAAUGACCAGAUGGGAUUAGCUUGUUGGUGGGGUAACGGCGCACCAAGGCGACGAUCCCUAGCUGGUCUGAGAGGAUGACCAGCCACACUGGAACUGAGACACGGUCCAGACUCCUACGGGAGGCAGCAGUGGGGAAUAUUGCACAAUGGGCGCAAGCCUGAUCCAGCCAUACCGCGUGUAUGAAGAAGGCCUUCGGGUUGUAAAGUACUUUUGGCGGGGAAGAAGGGCGUAAAGUUAAUACCUCGGCGCAUUGACGUUACCCGAAGAAGAAGCACCGGCUAACUCCGUG